UCCAAUGAGGAUUUGAUCCUGGUCCAGGACGAACGCUGGCGGCGUGGAUAAGGCAUGCAAGUCGUGCGGAUCGUUCUUUGAAGGCGCUGCGAUUACAUCAAGGCGCCGGAUGAGAAUGGUUAGCGGCGAACGAGUUAGUAACACCUUGGAACGUACCCCGGAGACGGGCAUAACUAGCCGAAAGGUUAGCUAAUACCCGAUAGCCUCGUGAGAGUAAAUCCCGCAAGGGGCUCCGGGAGCGGCCUAGGUCCUAUCAGCUAGUUGGCGGGGUAACGGCCCACCAAGGCUAUGACGGGUAGGGGGCGUGAGAGCGCGACCCCCAACGGCGACACUGCGAUACGGGUCGCACACCUACGGGUGGCUGCAGUCAAGAACAUUCGACAAUGGGCGCAAGCCUGAUCGAGCGACGCCGCGUGCAGGAAGAAGGCCUUCGGGUUGUAAACUGCUUUUCACUGGGACGAACGCAAGUGACGGUACCAGUGGAAUAAGACGCUGCAAACUCUGUGCCAGCAGCCGCGGUAAUACAGAGGCGUCAAGCGUUGUCCGGAAUUAUUGGGCGUAAAGGGUCUCCAGGUGGUUUUGUUAGUCGGGCGUUAAAUCCCGCUGCCCAACGGCGGGGCCGCGCCCGAAACGGCAAAACUCGAGGUAGGGAGAGGCACACGGAACGGUGGGUGUAGGGGUGAAAUCCGUUGAUAUCCACCGGAACACCAGAGGCGAAGGCGGUGUGCUGGCCCUAUCCUGACACUCAUGGGACGAAAGCGUGGGGCGCGAAUGGGAUUGACGCUCGCACUCCGGCAAAUUUUUCUUGGCGAUUUUUUGUGACGAAACUUCCUUGUCCGCUUCGCAAUGCGAAUAAGGAAAAUCUGAACUCGACCGCGCCGGUGGCGCGGGACUCACACAGCAGAUUUUCCUUGCUUUGCUCGCCGACUCGUUGUUUCGAUGGCAAAAUCGCAUUGAAAAAUUUGUCGGAGUGCUCGCUUGGCAUGUUCUGAAGGAAGUUUCCUUCGGAAACAUUUUAAGCGGACGGUAGGGGUACCGUGAGUUUACCCGCCCGUAGCUCGAAAGAGCGAAGGCGGGCAAUGGUCCCCCCGACACACGAAGUGUGUGUAGGGGAAAACUUGGCUAUAUGCUGGAAUAUCCGAGUAUCCGCAACUACCGCGAUUAGCGCGGUGAAAAUGUGUGCGGUGCGGACAACCAGCAGGGAAGAACUAGGAGGAGGAAAUGAAAUAUCGUCUGUGUUACACGGAGAGCAGAUACAGAGGGGUCUAUGGAAGUUCUGAUCCGUGGGAAAGGACGUAUCACGAUCAUACAUUCGAGGCGGAAAGCUCGGCAGAAGCCGACAGCUAUGCGCGAGAAUUUCUCGCCAAACUCGGCGCUGGGCCAACCACGCAGAAGUUUGAACGUGUUUCGCUUGUACAGAUUGUGCAAGAAGAGAUUUCAGUUCCUGUAUCGCAGUUCCCCUCAGAGACUGCACGCCGAGCCCAGCUCCUUGAGUCGUGGAUGUCGGGCGUUUGCCUGAUGUCCGUUUCUCAAGGCGCUGGGAUGAUACAGUCCGACCUCCAUAGCGAUAUGGAGAGCGCGGCAGAAAUGACCGCGCCCUGGAACAAUUCGUGAGGUCGUCGAGGUUAGAACUUUUGACCUUUAACCUUUGACUUUUGAUCUCACGUUUGUUGCAGAGCAACAAACGUGUAGAUACCCCAGUAGUCCACGCCCUAAACGAUGCAGAUUCGCCGUGGGAAGUAUCGACCCUUUCCGUGGCUUAGCUUACGCGUUAAAUCUGCCGCCUGGGAAGUACGGCCGCAAGGCUAAAACUCAAAGGAAUAGACGG
rnacentral:rRNA from 1 species